rnacentral:rRNA from 1 species
UACGAAGGGGGCUAGCGUUGUUCGGAAUUACUGGGCGUAAAGCGUGCGCAGGUGGCUUCUCAAGUCAGGGGUGAAAGCCCAGAGCUCAACUCUGGAAUUGCCUUUGAGACUGAGUGGCUUGAGUACGAGAGAGGUGAGUGGAAUUCCCAGUGUAGAGGUGAAAUUCGUAGAUAUUGGGAAGAACACCGGUGGCGAAGGCGGCUCACUGGCUCGUAACUGACGCUCAUGCACGACAGCGUGGGGAUCAAACAGG